GAUGAACGCUGGCGGUAUGCUUAACACAUGCAAGUCGAACGGACUCUUCGGAGUUAGUGGCGGACGGGUGAGUAACGCGUGAGAAUCUGGCUUUGGGUUCGGGACAACCACUGGAAACGGUGGCUGAUACCGGAUGUGCCGAGAGGUAAAAGAGAAAUUGCCUGAAGAUGAGCUCGCGUCUGAUUAGCUAGUUGGUGAGGUAAGGGCUCACCAAGGCAGCGAUCAGUAGCUGGUCUGAGAGGAUGACCAGCCACACUGGGACUGAGACACGGCCCAGACUCCUACGGGAGGCAGCAGUGGGGAAUUUUCCGCAAUGGGCGAAAGCCUGACGGAGCAAUACCGCGUGAGGGAAGAAGGCUCUUGGGUUGUAAACCUCUUUUCUUAGGGAAGAACAAAAUGACGGUACCUAAGGAAUCAGCAUCGGCUAACUCCGUG
rnacentral:rRNA from 1 species